UUUGAGCAUGCCAGAUAAGGGUGUACUGGCCCUGUGUUUUGUUUCUUGUCUGGUCCACUGCUUUCUUUUGUGCAUGAAGAGAAGGAUCCCAGCUGUCCUUAUACCAGCUUGCACCAUACUCUCCACUUAGGCAGAGGAGCUUUGAGUAAAAAGUCUAUUCCCAUGGAAAGUAUUGGUGUUCCAGCCUUUUUAAGUCAAGAUGAAAACAAGCUAUCAUGGAAGUUAGUGAAGCAAAGUCCAGCUGGAAAACCUGGGCACCACUACUGCAUGGUAUUUUAUAACAGCAUGGUUGAUUCUCCUGAAAAGCCUUAUAUAGCAACAAGGACAAAAGGUUAGAACAGAAACCAGAGAGGAAUUAAGUGGCAGUGCAAAAAAUGAAUAUGUGUAACAGAACUUCUUUCACUGAAGAUGAAACAUGGAGUGUGUUUGAAAGAUUAAAAAUUAGUAAUAGGUCUGAGCUUUUGUUGUUUCCUCGAAAUACUAAAAUUAGAGCAGUACUGAUGAAUUGUGGUUUUUUUUUUAGUCACCCAGAAGAUCAAGACCUAAGACCUGGUUUACUGCAACAGUAAGACCAUUAGUAAAAAUUAAGAAGUUUUAUUCUUAUGCCGUGCAAGCAAAGUAAUGUCUUUAGCAACCACUGCUGCCAUCUCUUU